GCGUCAAUUUGAAAAAACUCGAGGGGCAAUAUUCUCAUUUUAUCAAAAGAUAGUGGGUUUGAAUUUGGGAUUGUUAAAGAAAGAAUUUUGGUUUGGGGUUGAGCUUGGCAUGACUUGGAUUUGGCCCUAAUGGUUACAGAUUUCAGGCGCAGACCCGGCCGAGUUUCCAGGUCUUUAUCGCCGGGUUCGCUCGGUUGAAUCGCCUUCGUGGAUUUCGCGACUCGCUUGAAUUGCUGAGCCCUUUUCAUUUCCUUGUUGGUGAGGGACCAAAGGAAAGGCGUUGAAAAACGAGAAAGGAAAUGCC
rnacentral:misc_RNA from 1 species